GGAGAUCCCUAGGAGCCAGCCUGCUGGGAGAACCAGAGGGUCCGGAGCAAACCUGGAGGCUGAGAGGGCAUCAGAGGGGAAAAGACUGAGCUAGCCACUCCAGUGCCAUACAGAAGCUUAAGGGACGCACCACGCCAGCCCCAGCCCAGCGACAGCCAACGCCUGUUGCAGAGCGGCGGCUUCGAAGCCGCCGCCCAGGAGCUGCCCUUUCCUCUUCGGUGAAGUUUCUAAAAGCUGCGGGAGACUCAGAGGAAGCAAGGAAAGUGUCCGGUAGGACUACGGCUGCCUUUGUCCUCUUCCCCUCUACCCUUACCCCCUCCUGGGUCCCCUCUCCAGGAGCUGACUAGGCAGGCUUUCUGGCCAACCCUCUCCCCUACACCCCCAGCUCUGCCAGCCAGUUUGCACAGAGGUAAACUCCCUUUGGCUGAGAGUAGGGGAGCUUGUUGCACAUUGCAAGGAAGGCUUUUGGGAGCCCAGAGACUGAGGAGCAACAGCACGCCCAGGAGAGUCCCUGGUUCCAGGUUCUCGCCCCUGCACCUCCUCCUGCCCGCCCCUCACCCUGUGUGUGGUGUUAGAAAUGAAAAGAUGAAAAGGCAGCUAGGGUUUCAGUAGUCGAAAGCAAAACAAAAGC
rnacentral:lncRNA from 1 species